AUAUAUGUUUAAAGUUUUUUAUAAAUUAUAAAUUCUAAAUUAGUAAGUAUUAUAUCUAAAUUUUGAAAUUUUAGACCAUAAAUUAUGCAUAUAUUGUUGAAAAUUUCUAAAAAUUUUAUUUUUAAUAUUCGGACCCUGUUCGACAGCUCCAGUUGCACGUGCUGUUAGACGGCCCUGACAUAGUUAUGCUAUUAAUAGCCAAAAGAUUUUUUCUUUUUCGGUGCAUAUAUAUCACCAAUAACUAUGUACAGUGUAUACAGAAACUAUCAAUGUUCUUGGUUAAGUUGCCUCACGUUAUUGUCCGUCUCUUCCGCUAAUACUCGCUUCCUUCCAAUAACUUGCAAGAAAAAGUAUUUUUCUUGUUAAAGUACAAGAAAGAGUAUUCAUUUUUGUUUGUACAACAAUAUAUUUUUUCUGUUAACCGUUUGCAACAUUUAACACUUAUAUUUUUCAAAAAAAAAAAAAUUUAAAACUUAUAUGUGAAGUUGAAUUUGUGUUUCUAAUAGUGCUACGCGUGUCAUUUUUAUAAUUUAUUGGAUUGCCAACUUAUGACAUGUGUGAUGUGUCAAAUGAAUUUUAAUCAGAUUUUUAUACAUUGUAAUUCAUAUCAGAGUUUUACUCUAUAAAUUGGCCAAUUUCAUAACAUCCAAAACACAUAUAUAAUGUCUAAAUUUAGAUGUGUAUAUUAAGUUUAGCAACAAAAAAAAAUUAAUGUAAAUGACACGUUCCUAAUGUUUUAUAUAUAAUUGUCUACAUGUUUGUAUAUAGCUAGCUUUUUAAUAACUUCACUAGCCUUUGAUCCGCGCGUCCGCGCGGGUUUCAUAAAUUUUUUUUAAUACUAUAGAUAAAUAACAUUUACUAUAUAUUACAUAUAUGUUUUAGAAUGUCUUUAUUUUUUUAUGUUUUUUACAUUUUAAAACAACCUCAACUUGUUUGUUAAUGUUUAGCUACUGAAUUUUUUUCUUAAUGAGAUUGUUUUUUUUCUACAACUGUGUGUGUUUAAAACUAAUUAUAUAUGAUUUAAAAAAAUAUUAUUUAUUGGUAUAUGUUUUGAUAGAUUAGAUUUAUGUAUAAAUUUGUUGCAAAAUUAGGUAGCUUGUUGCACCAAAAAAAGGUAGUUUGGAUAUGUUUAAAUGUGAUUAUCGGACCUCAUAUAAUCAGUCUGCCCAAGAAAAUAGAAAUUGUCAAGCAUAUCGGACCUCAUAUAAUUUAAAGGUCCAAGCCCAAUUUUUCCGAAAAAAAACAGAAGAAGCUUAUCCACUUUUCUCGUUCUAGAGACUUUUCGUUGUCUUAUCUCUUUGUCUUCACGGGGAUACUGUGCUCAGGGAUCUGAUUUAUGUCAUGAUAUCUAAGUGUUUUUCUAUGUUUACACUAUAAUUAAUCAGAUGACUAUUGCAUCCUACAAUCAGUUUUGAAUCAAGAUUGUCUAAUAUUUCGAAUACAAUGACAUGAGAUCAGCUGAGCAAGUCCGAUCUAGAUACUAUCACGGAAAGAAACAUCAUGCAUGUCUGACAUCGAUAACGAAUCCGUUAAAACUCUUCGGUUUUUGGUUUUCUUAUGCUGACUGUUUUUGAAUCCUUUUAGUUUACCCGUAACUGUUUCCAGGACAGGGUCUGAAUUUUAGAUAGAUAUAUAUUCUUCUUACACAAAAAAGAAUGUAAGAAGAAACCGAAGAGUAGAUAAAUAAAAUACUGUUGAUAACUUGUGUGAUGAUAUUGAUAGCCACUGUUUAUAAAUCAUGUUAAAUUGAGAUCCUUUUUCCCUUCCUCUGGUUUGUGUAGUUUGGCAUCUUAUGUGGCUAAAAUAGAUGGUCAUAAUAUUUUAUAGAAACAAUUAGUUGGAAUCAAUAUUUUGGUUCAUCUUUUAUACCUCAUAAACUGAUAUUAGACUUUUUGAAUGUUUGACAUGCUAUUGGACGUUGUGAAAACCACGUUCCAGGAAUCCAGCUGCAAAUGAGGACAGCAACCUUGCCAAAAUACAUCAACAGAACACGCUGCAGAAAUGGAAACGUUUUCAACGACUGCCCAUUCUCCUAUAGGAAGUUGGUUAUGUAUAUCAGAUUACGUUCGCCGGUUUCAAUUUAAGUUUGGUGAUUUUAUUAUUAUGCUAAACGACAGUGUAUAAGCUCAGUGGCAUUCUAUUGUAAUUUUUGAGGAAAAAUCAGGGUCAAUUCUUAUUUGUACUUCUGUUUUAAUAGUUUAGAUGUGAUUAUUAUCUUGUCAA